CCUACGGGUGGCAGCAGUCGAGAAUCAUUCACAAUGGGGGAAACCCUGAUGGUGCGACGCCGCGUGGGGGAAUGAAGGUCUUCGGAUUGUAAACCCCUGUCAUGUGGGAGCAAAUUAAAAAGAUAGUACCACAAGAGGAAGAGACGGCUAACUCUGUGCCAGCAGCCGCGGUAAUACAGAGGUCUCAAGCGUUGUUCGGAAUCACUGGGCGUAAAGCGUGCGUAGGCUGUUUCGUAAGUCGUGUGUGAAAGGCGCGGGCUCAACCCGCGGACGGCACAUGAUACUGCGAGACGAGAGGAAUGAAAGGGGAACCGGAAUUCUCGGUGUAGCAGUGAAAUGCGUAGAUAGCGAGAGGAACACUCGUGGCGAAGGCGGGUGCCUGGACAUUAACUGACGCUGAGGCACGAAGGCCAGGGGAGCGAAAGGGAUUAGAUACCCGUGUAGUC
rnacentral:rRNA from 1 species